rnacentral:rRNA from 1 species
AUUGAACGCUGGCGGCAGGCCUAACGCAUGCAAGUCGAACGGCAGCACAGAAGAGCUUGCUCUUUGGGUGGCGAGUGGCGGACGGGUGAGUAAUGUCUGGGAAACUGCCCGAUGGAGGGGGAUAACUACUGGAAACGGUAGCUAAUACCGCAUAACGUCGCAAGACCAAAGUGGGGGACCUUCGGGCCUCACACCAUCGGAUGUGCCCAGAUGGGAUUAGCUAGUAGGUGGGGUAAUGGCUCACCUAGGCGACGAUCCCUAGCUGGUCUGGGAGGAUGACCAGCCACACUCGAACUGAGACACGGUCCAGACUCCUACGGGAGGCAGCAGUGGGGAAUAUUGCACAAUGGGCGCAAGCCUGAUGCAGCCAUGCCGCGUGUAUGAAGAAGGCCUUCGGGUUGUAAAGUACUUUCAGCGGGGAGGAAGGCGGUGAGGCUAAUAACCUUGCCGAUUGACGUUACCCGCAGAAGAAGCACCGGCUAACUCCGUGCCAGCCGCCGCCGUAA